GUAUAACACGGGGAAGAUCUCACCACCCGAGUAAGGCUGAACUGCUGCAGGAAAACGAGGAAUUUUGGCCGGUAGCCACUGUCAAUUGUUUUGUUUUGUUUUGUUUCUGUAGGCAAACCAGAGAGAGAGGUGGAGUCUAAAGAAGUGACAUUCUGUCCUGUGUGCUUUGAACGUGGUGACUGAAGGAAACAAAGUCCUUUUAGGUGAGAGUGGAGCGGUGGCUCUGGAAAGCCGUGUGAGGAUGAGUGCCCGCCGGGAGCUGUCGGUGCGAUCCGUUUUGUGCUGAGUGCCCUCUGGAGGUCUUGGACACGCAGCGACCCGGGCGAGUCCCGCCUGCCGCGACUUCAGGACUCCUUCCGCCCAAAAAGGGGAGAGAAGGCUGUACAUGCACUGCACAGGCUGUGAAGUAUUUGCUGUCAGGACUGAAUUCUGUGUUCACCCAGUCAAGGAGUAGAAGCAUAUUCCAGGAAAAUGAUCAGCCCCAGCUAACCAGUUCUAGGUGAACCUGCUUGAGCAGGAGGCUGGACCAGAUGACCUCCAGAUGUCCCUUCCAACCUGAACCACCCUGUGAUUCUGUGAAGACCAGAAUAUUACUGGGAUGCAUCCAGAGAAAACCUAAAACUGUAAAAUAAAUCUUCGAAUGCUGCAGAAGGCUGAGCAUGCCUUUGCAAUUAGAACUAAUUUACUGCCCUGUGAGACGGGGGAAAUGUGCAACGUACUCCUUGGGAAAACCAAGGUGCUGAAGGCCAGUGACAGAUUCAUGGGAGGAUUUGUGUCAGAACCAAUUUGGAUCUUGGGAACUUUUGGUUACAGUUGCUGUGCAGAGAGCCAUGACAGCAUUCCCUUCAUGAAGCGCAGCAAAAUCCCACCUCUCCUUGUCAUCUGGUAAAGGGAAGGAAGCCCUAGGUGCUGCUGCAUGGAGGUAGGUCUGCUGCUGAAGCACAUCCUUGUGGAAUCCUGCUUGCUUCCUAAACAAGGCUUCUUUAGCUCAUAUGGAGCAUUUUCCUAGCUGGUGUCUCUUCCUGUAUAUAUUUUGAACCUAUGGGAAGUCAGUGCUGCAUUAUAUGAGACACUGACAUAUGAGACACUGAUAUGCUCUGAAUUUAUCUGCUGGCUGUGGAGUUGUUUAGCCCUGUCAGAGUCCUUGUCUGGACUGAAGGAAAUCUAAGAACACGAGUGCCAGAUGAAUGGAGACAAGAGAAAAUGAUCUGGACCUUCUUGGGCCUACGGCUCUCACUCUCACACAUUCAGUUGAAGCCCUGUGAAUGUGUUCAGAUGAAAGGCCAGCAAUGGGAAAGAAUUGCUGUGGAUUCCCUGGUGGGAGAGGUCAUUCCUCCCCAUCAUGAACACCUUAUGGUUUUACCUUUUUUCCUUACACCACCCAUUAGGUGGCACCUAGAGAAUAGAGAUACGCUGGCAUAGUCUGGACAGGAAAUGAUGGCUGGAGAGUGAAUGGAGACAUCUCUCACAACCGUCUUUAACUUCCCCCCAGACCUCUUUGCACCCCUCCACACUCCUGAAACAACUCUGCUUCUCUUCAGCAAAGACUUUUGGCUUCACUGUUAGAGUCCAGGUCUGCUCCAUGAGAAAGUUUGCAUGGUCCUUUCUAGCUCCUGCAUCUUAACUUUCCCCUUAGCUCUGCAGAACAGAGAAACCCAAGUGAUAAAACUGCUCGUGGGUAAAUUCUGCUGCUUUUCUCUCUAGGAAGGUGCCACAUGUUACAUCUGAACUCAAUGCUCAAGAUCCUUUUCCUCUCUGCAAUGCAAUGUGUUUUGGCCGCUUAUCCUGAGGGAGAACUGGGCACAUACCAGUAUUUUUCAUUCUCUUCUAUUCCCACAUCUCAAUUGCAAUUAAGAAGGGAUCCCCAGAGGUCCUCUAGAAGCCACAUGGUAACUCAGGGCCAGGUUUUCAGGACAAGCUGUAGGAGAUACCUUCAAGGAUUUAAGCAGACACAACACUGGGAUGGGAACAUUUAUCAGGAAGAUUUAGCCCUAGGUGUUUCUAGUCCCACCCUGUAGCUGGUAAGGCAUUGAAGAAUGGUCCAAACUUCUCCCUCUCAUGGGUAUUGAACCUGUUCUUUGGGAGCCUCAGCUACUACUGGUAUUGGGAGCAAACCAUGGGCAAGUUAAAUCUCUGCAUUUAAAAAAAACCUGUAAUCAGAAAAGGCUUUCCAAGAGUUUGUACCCCUCCUUCAGGGAUUUAUUUAUUUAUUUAUUUAUUAAGAAAUAGCAGCUGGAAUUUUAAGUGACAGCUUCUGAUCUGAUAGAUACUAGAACUAAUAAUUUUGAUAACUCUGUUUCUGUCCUUGUCAAGCACCCUGUUAAUGGCUGGGUCUCUGCCCUACCUGGAGCAAAACUGAAGCUGAUUUUGGAUAUCACUCAUGCUUAAUUACAUUCAUAAAUGAAGGGUACCAUAAUAAUGGAGUUGGUGUUGCAGGUCACAUGGGAAAAACUGGGAAAUUGUCCUUGUAAGGCUUUGUAUUCUAAAGUGACCUGGGUAUUUUUAUAUUUUCUAGUCAGUUUUUGACUAGAGCAAGGAAUUGAUAUAUAGCUCACAAAUACAUCUGUCUGGGGUGGUUUCUCUCGACUGGGCUAUUUCUUUCAUGGUGUCCUUUUGUGUGUGUCACAGGACAACUUUUUAUGGGGUCCUUUAUAGGAAAAGGAGGAGAAUCGGUUUACAUCCCACUUAGAAAAAAUGGCAUCAAACAACUUCUUCAAAGUCCAGCAUUUUUCCCUAAGCACAAGUAAAAGCUUAAAUGGUUAAAUCAAUCCCAACGAAUUCAGCAUUUAGUAAACGCUCUCCUUACUCACACAUUCUAUUAUUCCCAACCAGAGUAAAAUAUAGGAGACAGCGGUGCAGAUGAAAAGAAACAGAAAAUAUCCCCUUUUGGAAGGAGACAACUUCUCCUCUGACAUAUUUAAAGCAACCUGAUGUUUCCACCUCUAGCCUGAUGUUAUUAUGCAUCUUUUCCCUCCCCCAUCGAUAUAAAUGUUUGGUUCAGCUUGUUGAGGAUUGAUCGAAUCUUCUCCCUGCACAAGUUUCCGUGGGUGGAGACAGGAUCCAAAAUGCCAGCAAAUAGAGGUUUUGAAAAUGCAGUAUCAACAGAGCUGUGCAAGCAACUCCUUUUAGUGGUUUCUUGGCUGAACUGUAAUGCUGAGAAACAAGUUGUUCUGUGACAGAGGAACUAAUGAAUCCUGGCUGCUUGGAUUUCAAUCCUUGCCUCCCAGCUCUUUGCCCACCCCUCCACCCCUGCUCCCUCCAUGUCCCCUGUGAUUCCCUCCCCUCCAGCUACCUUCACUUCCCUUCCCUUCCUUCUCCCCAGAUAACAGCUGGGCAAUGGUAGCACGGAUUGCAGUUUGCUCUGAUGAGUAACUGGCCAGGGAGAGCAAACUGCAAAGAACUGCUGAGCUCACUCGGCAGAGUUUCUUUAGUGGGGGCACUGGUGUAGGUCCCUCUUUUUCUAUUGAGCUGCCAGCUCCUUGAACUUUGUGCUCACUCAGCUUUGCUGGGAAUGUCAUGUCUGUACAGAACUUGGCUGAAACAGCUCUGAGGUUGAGAAGUUAUUUGAGAGACAGAUGGACUGGCAGUGCAAUCACACAAGCCUCAUUUCCUAGGGGAACCUGCCUUCAAAUGCUUUGCUUGAACCAAGAUAAAGUGUUUUUGCUUUGUUUUCCAAGACUUGUUAACUGCUUGGAUUAAACUAAAUGUGUGUAUUAAAUGAUACUGUAAGCAUGUGAGUACUCUUCUGCUAGUCUAUUUUUUAUUUUUUUUUUAAUAGCAAUGGAUUUAUUUCUUUACAUAUUUUACAGGCAAAGCAUGGCACAGCUAGCCCUGCCUAGUUUAUAUUGGCUUCACAUAACUUUUGAU